rnacentral:rRNA from 1 species
UACGGGGGGAGCAAGCGUUGUUCGGAUUUACUGGGCGUAAAGGGCGCGUAGGCGGCCAGCGCAAGUCAGUUGUGAAAUCUCCGGGCUUAACUCGGAAAGGUCAACUGAUACUGCGCGGCUAGAGUGCGGAAGGGGCAACUGGAAUUCUCGGUGUAGCGGUGAAAUGCGUAGAUAUCGAGAGGAACACCUGCGGCGAAGGCGGGUUGCUGGGCCGACACUGACGCUGAGACGCGAAAGCGUGGGGAGCAAACAGG